CGGUCCUUAAGUAUCAAAUUUAAUUAUCAAAUAAAUAAAGAAAAGGAUCUAAAUGAAAUCAAGAUCUAGACUUAGGGUUUUAUCUGACAGAAUUCCACGAGUUUUGGUGUUUGUCUAUUUCUGCAGGGGGUUAUCAGGAAAUAUGGAAGAAAGGCCCACAUGCCAGGAUUACGUAAAGAUAUUAACGUGCUGCGCAAUUAUCUUACAUCUAGAAGACUCCAGAAGCCACGAGACCGAAGCGGAGGC
rnacentral:lncRNA from 1 species